GAGAGCACCUCGGUAUCUAAGC
rnacentral:miRNA from 1 species